UGAGAGGUCCACCCCCGAGUUUCCAGGUUGAGUUCACGCUCAAUCCACUCAAUCAAUUCUCGGAUCAACGAGGAAUAAAGAUAGAAAUUAUGUUGGAUGUCAAGCAAGGAGAUAAAUCAGAGAUGCUGCCAGUGAGCGUCCAGCCCACCGACGAAGAUGGAAACAGCGGUGCGGAACAAGACACUGCUCCCGAAACUGGGUCGGACCAUGGACCUGAUGAAGCAAUGACGGAGAUUGGAUCACUGCGAUCUGAUGAAGGCUGUGAUUAGAGAGAACCUUGUGCAACCUGUACAUGUGCAGUGACCGUCAGACCUCCGUCUUCCUCUUUCUUCGCACCCGGCAUGCCAGAGGAGUGAAGUGCUGUAGUUUAA